GAGUCGGUUCAAAUGAUUUAUGAUCCAAUUCCGACAACUUAUGAUCCACUUCCCAUUCUUCAAGCACCUGCAUCGUCGAUUUUCACCCA
rnacentral:sRNA from 1 species